GUCGGGCGGGAGGAGAAUACAAUACCCGAAAGGGGAAUAAUCCCAGCCGUCUGUUUGCGGCUUUCGAACCGCCCGACACCCUAUU
rnacentral:ncRNA from 1 species